rnacentral:rRNA from 1 species
AACGAACGCUGGCGGCAGGCUUAACACAUGCAAGUCGAGCGCCCCGCAAGGGGAGCGGCAGACGGGUGAGUAACGCGUGGGAACGUACCCUUUGCUACGGAAUAGCUCCGGGAAACUGGAAUUAAUACCGUAUGUGCCCUACGGGGGAAAGAUUUAUCGGCAAAGGAUCGGCCCGCGUUGGAUUAGCUAGUUGGUGGGGUAAUGGCCUACCAAGGCGACGAUCCAUAGCUGGUCUGAGAGGAUGAUCAGCCACAUUGGGACUGAGACACGGCCCAAACUCCUACGGGAGGCAGCAGUGGGGAAUAUUGGACAAUGGGCGAAAGCCUGAUCCAGCAAUGCCGCGUGAGUGAUGAAGGCCUUAGGGUUGUAAAGCUCUUUUACCAGGGAUGAUAAUGACAGUACCUGGAGAAUAAGCUCCGGCUAACUCCGUGCCAGCCGCCGCGGUAAGAC